rnacentral:rRNA from 1 species
GGGAAACUUGUGCUAAUACCGAAUGUGCCCUUCGGGGGAAAGAUUUAUCGCCUUUAGAGCGGCCCGCGUCUGAUUAGCUAGUUGGUGAGGUAAAGGCUCACCAAGGCGACGAUCAGUAGCUGGUCUGAGAGGAUGAUCAGCCACAUUGGGACUGAGACACGGCCCGGGGUGGGACGGGAGGCAGCAGUGGGGAAUCUUGCGCAAUGGGCGAAAGCCUGACGCAGCCAUGCCGCGUGAAUGAUGAAGGUCUUAGGAUUGUAAAAUUCUUUCACCGGGGACGAUAAUGACGGUACCCGGAGAAGAAGCCCCGGCUAACUUCGUGCCAGCAGCCGCGGUAAUACGAAGGGGGCUAGCGUUGCUCGGAAUUACUGGGCGUAAAGGGAGCGUAGGCGGACAUUUAAGUCAGGGGUGAAAUCCCGGGGCUCAGCCUCGGGAUUGCCUUUGAUACUGGGUGUCUUGAGUAUGAAAGAGGUGUGUGGAACUCCGAGUGUAAAGGUGAAAUUCCUAAAUAUUCGGAAAAACACCAGUGGCGAAGGCGACACACUGGCUCAUUACUGACGCUGAGGCUCGAAAGCGUGGGGAGCAAACAGGAUUAAAUACCCUGGUAGUCCCCGCCGUAAACGAUGAUUGCUAGUUGUCGGAAUGCAUGCAUUUCGGUGACGCAGCUAACGCAUUAAGCAAUCCGCCUGGGGAAUACGGCCCCAAGAUUAAAACUCAAAGGAAUUGACGGGGGC